GGAGUUAGUGGCGGACGGGUGAGUAACACGUGGGAACGUGCCUUUUGGUUCGGAAUAGCUCCUGGAAACGGGUGGUAAUACCGAAUGUGCCCUUCGGGGGAAAGAUUUAUCGCCAUUAGAGCGGCCCGCGUCUGAUUAGCUAGUUGGUGAGGUAAAGGCUCACCAAGGCUACGAUCAGUAGCUGGUCUGAGAGGAUGACCAGCCACAUUGGGACUGAGACACGGCCCAAACUCCUACGGGAGGCAGCAG
rnacentral:rRNA from 1 species